rnacentral:lncRNA from 12 species
UAAUAAUGAUCGUAAUAAACCCUUAUAAAUAGGUGUUUGAUUACAGUUUGUCCCUACGUGGGUAUUUUUUUUUUUUUUUGAAUCAGACUAAUUGGCUGCCAGGCUGAUUGGGCUGGAUGUGGCUCUACGCUGGAGUCUUAGGCCCUUCUCCCUCUGGCUGGCUGUUCUUGGCUCCACUUCGCCCCCACCUGCCCAGGUAUCCCCUUCUCCAAGUAGCUGAGAGUCAGCUUGAGGUCACCUCUCCCCCACGCCCUCUCUCGGGGCUGACCCAGCCAUGCCACGGGGCACAGUCCCUGACUGUCUUCUCCCUACUUCUCCACCUCCCCACCUCUAGCCCAGGAAAGAGCCAGCAGAACCCAGUGCAUCCCAGGUGCUAGGCCCUGCAUGGGAGAGCCUUCCCGGCUGGGGAGCGGCGGCAAGCUGGGAGGACUCUCAUGUUGGCACGCUGGUCUGAGUCCUGAAGACAGAUACCAGGCAUCACCAUGUGGGCAUUCCCGCUCUACUGGCCCAGCUGCAAAUCAGAGAGCUGCCAGGCAGGUAGACGGGCAACAGUUCGCCAGGAGAGGGGAAGACUGUGACCGUGACCGUAUCAUUAUCUCCCCCAGCCUGUCCUCCGAGGGGAUGGGCUCUGCUGGUUUGCGGAAGGACACCCUACAGCCUCUGAUGAUAACAGUAGGGGUGCUUCCUGCUCUCCGCAGCGGAGAAGGGGUAGAGGUGGCGACUCCAGGGUCAGGAUCUCCAGGGACUCAGCGGGCGGUUGCCGUGACCACGCGCCACAGGACCAUGUCAGUGAGCGCUGGAUCUGCAAUUCUCUCCUCUGCUACGUGGCUCCACAGCAUCGGUCCAUCUGUUCCUGCCCCGGGGCUCUUGACUCCACGUGGUCAAGUUGGCCUGGGGAUGGUCGGAGGUCACCCUCCCAGCAACCCCACGGCAGGUAGCCUUGCCAACCUGCAGUACCCCCCAUAGACAACAGGUGGCGCCAUCUAAUGUGUGAUUUGUUCCAUUUUUUACGACCUUUUAAGUUCGAGGGUCUAUAUUCUGUUCAACGAAUCGGCUUCCCGUUUCAGGAGUUCUGCUAAGCUCUAGUAUAAUCACAGUGAGGCACACUGGCAGGAAGCAUGUGCACUUAUACUCCUUAGUUAGUCAUAGCUGUGUGAUGGGUCCAUAGUACUACAGAUGAGAAAAUUGAGGCCCAAAGCAAGAUUGCCGCCUCCCUGGAUUCUCACUGUCGGAGGCGCGUGCUGUCUGUACUGUAAAGUGAAGCAGCGUCUCUCCAGGCGAUUCACCUGGGUGUCUUGUCUUCCCAGGGGAGCUGGGUGCCGAGGGUACAGAUCCAAAAGGACACAGCCUGCGCUCUUGAGGAGCUCACAGUGGGCAGGGGCUGCUACGCUGCUCAGAUACCUGAAAGCCAAAGUCAGGGCCGCCCACCCUGCAUCUGCUCCCCAGGGCUCUGCACCAUCGGAGUCCUGAGCCCACCAGUCAGCAUCACUGCUUCCUCCUUCCCAGGCCUCACCCCAUGCAGGCGCCACUAAAGGAAACAUAGCUGGGUCAGAAAGGACCUCCGCGUGGAGGGCUGGGACGGCCCCCUGAGAAUCCUUCACUGGCCCCUCGUGGCCUGCAGAGCAAAGCCAACACCCCUGGAAUAGCUUACGGGGUCUUCACCUCCAUUCUGGGCUCCACUCUGCAAUGGUCAGUGCCCGUUACACCCUUCACUCUAGGCCUUUAUGCCUGCUGUUCCCUCUGUGGGAAACACCCUUCCCCCCCAUUCCUCCCCCCACACACUCUCUUCCUCAUCCCCCUUCCCCUACACCCCUGUACCCCACACACACACGCUGUAGGCAGGCUAACUCCCACUCACGCCCCAGGCUCAGCUUCAGCUCCCACUAGCUCAGGAAGUCUGGAUUAGGUGCCUUCUCUGUGCUCGGCCCAGGAAAUUCAGAGCGUGGUGGCAAGAGGUGCAAAGUAU